CCCACCUCUGCACAUCCUCCUGGAUGGAGACUCAGGGAGGCACGCCCAGUCACAUCCCAGGGGGGCCCCCUGUAGGGGAAGCACGGAGACAUCCCCCCAGAUGCGCAGAAAGGGGACACACUGGAGUAGAGGAGCCCUAGUAGCUCUGCUCUGACAUUUCAGAGCCCAAGGCAGGGAUCUAAGCAGCGCUGGAUUGAUUUUUCUCUACACGUCUUGGUAAAAUAUUCCCAACUUUUUAUUUCCCAAAAUGCCCAUGAAAGAAGUCAGUGAGGGAAAAUGCAGAACUGGGGUAGACUUCCUUACAAGUAUUUGAAUGUUUAUUAUUUUCAUUCUGAGUUACCCACAGGGCAGGACCAUAGACAUUGUUAGGCUUAGAGUCUCUGAAAGCCUCAGGCCCCAGUGGAAGCCACACACUGCAGCAGCCCCUCUCCACACCUGUGGCCACACUAGUUGUAACCUGGCUUCCCCUUCCUCCAUCUGCAGCUUGAAGUCUGUCUCUGAACAAGGCUCCUGACUUCCCCAGAGGACAUUUCUAAACUGGUUCCUACAGAGGUUUUUGUUUUUGUUUUUGUUUUUUUGGUUCCUACAGAGUUUGAAAUGAAACUUGCCUCUUCUUAAAUCUCAGGUUGAUAAUUCCCACUCAAGAAGGUAAGCCUCUACACUUCUAAAACAGCCUGCAGUUCUUUAAUUUCACUUUGCCAAUUCCCAACAGCCUUUGACUCACAGCGUUAGGAUAAAAACAAGAGGGGGAAAAAAAAACCCACAAUCUAAGGGGAGAAGAAAAAAAAGUUGUAAAGAUGCUACAAGCCUAGGGGAAAAAAGUUUUCUCCUUCCAUAAAGCUUGUAAAUAUCACCCUAUAAAAGGGUUCUAUAGGAGGCCUCUUUGUAAGAAGAAAAAUGGAGGUGACCAUAGCUUACCUUAACCCCCACUUGCACAUGGGGGCAUUUCUACAUGUAACAAGAAGUCACUUAAUGAAAGCAUGCUAUGAGAGAAAGGGUUAACACCCAGCCAGCUGAAGCUGGGCCUGGGGGAUGGGGGGUGGGCUCAUUUUCCUCAAUUAUAAAAUAAGGGUAUUGAACUAGAUGCCUAGGAAGAAAAAGGCCCCUUCUGGCACUAGAAUACUUGUACCAGGAUCAGUUUCUCCUAUACUAAGAGGGCCUGCUAACCAUCUUUUGUUGAAGAGGGUGGGGACACAAGAACAGCUGACAAUAGAACAGAGCCCCAACCAGAAGGGCUGUCCUGUAGGAGGAUGGCUCUACUAGUUCAAGGAUCCCACAGGUUGCCCUUUUCUUGGAUGUCUGCUCCACACUUUAAUCCACAGCCAUUUGUGAUUCCCCUCCCAGGAAUGGCGAUGGUUCUGAUUUACCAGACCUACCCUCCCACAUUUUAAAAAAUGAAUAACUUGAGGAGUGUGCUGGUGGUUGGCAGGAGGAUCCAGAAAGUUCCUGUGGGGGUGUUACAUCUAUCUAGCUUGAAUUAACAAGGCAGCAAGCAUGAAGGGAGUGGAGAGAGAUGAGGAGAGCAGACAGAUUGUAGGGAGUGAUUUGAGGAUUAACACUGAUAAUACAGAAAAUGCUGUGUCUCUGGAUACGAGACUUGGAGAAUAACAAGGCAGCUUGAGGAAGAGAGAUAAACCAUCCUCUGAAGCCAGAGGAAAAUAAAACACUGUCCUCACAGAAACAAACACAAGCCAGAGACAAAAGCUUGAAGGAAAGGGCAGCACGAUGAAAAAUGAGAACGUUUCCAAAAUGAAGAGUGGGCCCUUCAUGAGGCCCUGUGUGCUGCUGCGAGCCAAGCCACCCAGCAGCAGCUUUCUGCCUUGCCCAAGGACACCUGAGGAUCCCAGGGCAAGGCCCUCCCAGGCCCUCAGUGGGCUUGAUGAUAGGAUCUAGGUGGGAUCUCUCCUCUGAGGCUGUCAGGAAGAUCCAGUCUGCCCACUUUCCAUCAACCCAGACAGUGCCACACAGCUGAGGACCAGAGAGCAUACUUACAGGGAACAAUUAAAUACAGGCCUUUGCACCAAGGGUUCUGCUUGUUCCCUGAGGAAGCAGGCUCUCUGAAUCCUGGACCACAUUUUAAAUCAAUCUUCAGCGGAACUCAAAUCCACUUAGCAAAUGAUAGCUUAUUCUGAACAUUUUGGCCCCAAACAGGCUAUGUAUGAAGAGGAUCUUAAAUCUGUGUUCCAGUGACUACACAGAAAAACAAUUCCAACUGCUGUUUUCCUUCCUCGUUACCAUCAGAGGUGUAUGACUGUCACUAACUCAUAGACAUGGGAAAAAGUGCUCCUGGGUUGGAAAGGAAGGCAGUUUAGGCGAAACAUAUAAGGCAGAGGUGAGAGGGGAAAGCUAACAGGUCACCCUUCUGAUGUUUUGUUUUGUUUUUUAAAGGGGGUUCUGUUGACUCACAAUAUGAAAAUGCAGGAAAAUCAAGUCUCCACUACACUCCCAGUUAACUACAUAGGGCAGCCCAGACUUAGGGGGAGAACUCCUGUGUUCCUGAAGCUUAACUCCUAGAUGCAGAUUCCAGUAUAUACAUUAGCACAUUUUAAUCAUUAACAGGAAGGACAAAGCCCUAUGAAACUCUGCAGGCGAAGGCUGCAGACCAUUUUCCCAUUCAAUUAGAGGAACGGCUUCCAGUCCUGUAUUAUUUUAGUUUAUGAAGCCGCUUGGCUCAAACAUUCACUGACAAGUCUUUUUUGUUCUCAAUGAAAGCACUUUUCAGGGUUUUUAAAAAAGCAUUUUAUCCACCCGUGACAGAUAUUAAGCCAACUUUUUAUCUUCAGUCAGUAUAAAUAGUUAAUUGCUUUGAUAAACUGCUUCUUAUUUUAAGAGUCACUGCAGUCAUAUUAAUUAUAAGUGCUUGUUUGCCUAAAAGUAAAGAGACCAAAAAUAUUCACUAGAAAACACACACAGGACCCCAUCUGUCAGACUGUACCCUAUGCUCAUCAACCAAACCAGAAGUAAACUGAGUCUUCAAAUUCUUUGCCUUUAGCUCAGUUUUAAUGCUGCCACCUCCUCUCUGAAUGGAAUAACAAGUUCAACAACGCAUUUAAAAAGAUAGAAUUGCAAUAAGAUCCUGCUGUAGAGCACAGGGAACUAUCUAGUCAGUUGUG